AACACUGACAGAGGAGAGAGAAAGAGCCGACCUGAGCAGGCCCCAAGGGUCCGCCCUGGCCCAGGCAUGCUCGCUCCACACCAACCUCCCCCGAGACCCGGGCCUUCAAGGACACGAUUAUGACCUUCACUGCUGGAAGGCGGGUCAAUGAGAGCGGUGGCCACACCCAGAACAGGGAGCCCCACCCCCGUGGCCUGAAUCCACACCCCGAAGGGAAGUUUUAACCCGAAGACCACGCCCCCACGCUGCCUGCCGUCCCCCAAACCCAGGACCCUGACUCCCACACCUCCGUGGACUCCCCAGCUCUGACCUGUGACUUGAAAAUGGAUGACCGUGGCUGGGCCGGAUCGCUCAAUGCCCAACUCGCAGCGGACACGAGACCAGCCCACACCUCUCCUCUGGGGAAACCAAAACCGAGGAUCAGACCUGAGGAAAUGAACCUGAUGUAGAGACAACCAGAUAAAUCUUUAUUUGCGCCUUGGGACUGUGGCCUAUUCCUUCGGAAGUUUCUCAGCUUUCGGAACCUGGGUUUCUGAGAGCGGACUCUGUGACAGCUGGUCAUGUGACAGCUGGUUCUGUGACAGCCAACUCUGUGGAAGCUGGUCCUGUGGAGCAGCUGCCUUGUCGGUGCGGAAUCUGGACUUUAUGGAAUCGAUCACCAUCCCAGACCGAAAGCAAAUGAUUCUUUGAGUCAACCCUGGUAGAGGAGAGGACCCAAGAGCAUACCUGACUGGGUCCCAAAGGCCAGUCAUGGCCCAGGCAAGCUAUCUCCGCGCCAACCUUCCCCAGCACCCAGGACUUCCAGGGGAUAAUCAAGACCCUAACUGCAGAGAGCCUGGUCAAGGUGGCUGGGGGCCACCCCCAGGGCAGGAAGCCACGUCCCAGUGGCUUGAAGCCAUGCCCUGAAGCUGACUGUCCCCCCAACACACAACCCUGAAUCCCACACUUCAGUCAACUCCCCAGCACUGACCUGAGACUUGAAAACGGAUGACCUAGAGUGUGCUCACUCCCACGGUGCCCAACUCACAGCGGUAGUUACCUUCGUCCUCUGGCCUCACCAGGGGCUUGGUCAGGGUGAGCCAGUUCCCCUUGUACACCAAGGUCUCAGAAUUUCUCCCCGAAAUCUAGACCCAAGAUCAAGGGGUCACAGAGGUGUGGGGGAUUCAGGCCUGCUGUAGUACAGGGGUGAGAUCCUCAGGAGACUUCAGUGGGGGGUGAUGGGAAUUCAGGUGUACUGCUAAGGGCAUGGGGUCCCCCGGGGAUCAAUAGAAGUCAAACCCGGUAGGUCAUGGGUCACAGGGAUUGUGGGAACAAGCCUGUGGAUACAGGGGUCGGGGGCUCGGACAAACCUAAUGGACUUGGGGUUGAAGGGCCCACCCUGUAAAAGCUGUAAUGGAACCCGCCUGGAGCAAUUGUAUGCCAGCGGAGCUCACAGUUCAAGAUCAAGUCUUCUUUUUCAUGGACGUUGAUUUGGCGCACUGGGGACAGGGGGUGACGGUGGGGUGCUUCCUCAAGGUUUCCGGUCCUACCUCAACUCCCUCCCACUGGGUCUGGGCCCCCCCUAUGUUUGCUAGGGUGCCAGCUUGAGUCUCCGCCCUGUCAAGACUCCCUCUCUCCUCUGGCUCCACCCCUCUCGCGCCAACCCCUCCCGCUGGCCCCAGCCCUCUCACCUCCACAAUCUGUGGACAAGGGUACCUGUGCAGCAGGCAAGAAUCGCAGCACCUCAGAAGCUGCAACAAUACACCUGAAGGGGCAUGAACAAGGUUGUAAUUCGGCACCCCGAGAGAAGGGGCUCCACGGAGAGGGCAGGGCCAAGGUCGGGGGCGGAGUCAGGCCCCUAAUCCCUAGAGGUCAGCCCAAGGGGCGGGGCUAGAAGGCAGUCCUCCCUGAAGAGGGGUGUAACCAGUCUCAGGAAAAAGAGCGCCCAGAGAAUAGGACCCGUUGCCCAGGAAGUCCGCUGUGCAGCAGGACUACUGGGGACCAGGAACCUCUCAGACGUGGGGAAUGAAGAACCAUCGAGACCCAAAGCCAGAGGAGAAAGGCUGGGUAUUUACGGGGCAAGGAUGAAGGUUAGAAAACCAGUUCCCAUGAUCUGGACUCACCACAUUUGUUGGGACAAGAAUCCUCACCUGGAGAAAACGAUGAAAUGAUAAUGAGAUUUCAUUAUCCCCAGAGAGGGAGCCAGGGAAUAGGUGGGGUUGGGCUCUUGGGUUGGAGGGAGGAAGGACCCGGGUGCCUGGAGCUCUGGGUCCAAGGGAGGGCGCGGUCGGGAGAGGUGAGGCGCUGGACGUAGAGAAGCAGGGGGCUGGGGACACAGACCCUGGGACUGGUGGAGGAAGGGGCUGUGGUCCCUGACGGAGCCCAUCUUCCCUCACCUCCGUGAAACCGAGCGACAUUGCGCCGAAACGUUUCCUUUUCCCGAGUCAACAUCGCGGAGAACUCCUUCACGAAAGUGUCAUCUGGGAAGAAGCAGGGUGACAGGGAGUGCGACCCCUCCGCUCCCCACCCCAGGAGUGAGAGCUGUGUUGCGCGUCUACGCGACCUCAGUGUUGAGUAACCAGAUGCUGUUUGGUACCUUAAGAGAAAGUUCCCUUCAUCUGGAAGAGCAAACAUUAAAGGACCGGCAAUAUUUCCAACGAGAGUCACAAAACUCGAACCUCUUCCUCACUUCAUUUAGUCCACUGUUCCUAAUUCUUGUCCAGUUUGAAGGCAGCUUCUCACCCAUUUAAGUACUCAUCUUGGAGAUGUCAAAUAUCUCUCUUUGUCCUAAAAAUCCUUUUGAUUAAUCUCCUUGAAGAUGAGUAUCAGAACCACAACUAUAAAUGACAAAAUGUCAGAAAUGGACAUGUUCACCAUAUGAUAUGAGAGUUCAUUAUGAUGCAGUUAGCAAGGUCAUCCAGUGUUCAAAGACACAUAAUACUUUGAUAGAGUACCAAAGGAAGACCUUAUACCAAGAUAUUAAAAGUUUAGGAAUCACAUAUAUAUAUAUAUAUAUUUGAACGGUUCUAGCAUUUACCCGUGCAAUACCAUUAUUUGUUGGAAAGUGGUUCCAGAGUAACUUAAUAUGCCAGAAAAUGCCUAAUUGGUUAAAAAAAAAAAAAAAAAAAAAGACUUCAUUUAUGAUUUAAAUGCGGGAAAGUUUGCUAAAACCUCAGUAAGCUACAAAGCACAUCCUAAAUAGGAUUACAGAUCAUUACAAAUCAUCAAACUUUACAUUAUUUAACCAGGAUGGCAACAAGAGAUCCCAAAGGCAAACAUGUAAGGUUAUACAGUUGUUAGCAAAACUUAGCUCCUUUAACACUGAGAAGUUUUAACUAAGUAAUUAAAGACUUGAUGAAAGAGGAACCCUAAA